UACGGAGGGUGCAAGCGUUAUCCGGAUUCACUGGGUUUAAAGGGUGCGUAGGUGGGCAGGUAAGUCAGUGGUGAAAUCUCCGGGCUUAACUCGGAAACUGCCAUUGAUACUAUCUUUCUUGAAUACCGUGGAGGUCAGCGGAAUAUGUCAUGUAGCGGUGAAAUGCUUAGAUAUGACAUAGAACACCAAUUGCGAAGGCAGCUUACUAAGCGAUCAUUGACACUGAGGCACGAAAGCGUGGGGAGCAAACAGG
rnacentral:rRNA from 1 species